GAGUUNGAUCAUGGCUCAGAACGAACGCUGGCGGCAGGCCUAACACAUGCAAGUCGAGCGCGCCCUUCGGGGUGAGCGGCGGACGGGUUAGUAACGCGUGGGAACGUGCCCUUCUCUAAGGAAUAACCAUUGGAAACGAUGACUAAUGCCUUAUGCGCCCUUCGGGGGAAAGAUUUAUCGGAGAAGGAUCGGCCCGCGUUAGAUUAGAUAGUUGGUGGGGUAAUGGCCUACCAAGUCUACGAUCUAUAGCUGGUUUUAGAGGAUGAUCAGCAACACUGGGACUGAGACACGGCCCAGACUCCUACGGGAGGCAGCAGUGGGGAAUCUUGGACAAUGGGCGCAAGCCUGAUCCAGCCAUGCCGCGUGAGUGAUGAAGGCCUUAGGGUCGUAAAGCUCUUUCGCCAGGGAUGAUAAUGACAGUACCUGGUAAAGAAACCCCGGCUAACUCCGUGCCAGCAGCCGCGGUAC
rnacentral:rRNA from 1 species